CGGUUAUAAACCACGUGUGCUGCGCAUUAAUAUGAAAACAUCCUCGCAGUCGGGCGAUGCUUUCCGAUGUGUGGGACAGCACAGUGAAGCAGCUGCCUUUACACCAACACGAGCUCACAGAGUAAAGAGGUCACACUGCCAGCAUGCUUCACAAUGGUAAGCAAACUGGGCCAGUUCACACCUGCCACCAGUGAAGGUGAAGUAAGAGGAGGAGAGCACAAUUCAGAGGAGAGGUCUUGUCCACUGCACUGGUGUGGCUUCCAACAGACUGUAAGGUGAGAACAAGAGCAGAGCCUGGGGACGUGUGUACAUAGAGUGCGUACGCUUGGAUACUCACACUCGCACACACACCUUUCGAACUCUCUCCACGUGUCAGCAGAGGAUGGAAGAGGGUGAGGAUAAGAGCAGCCUGCAGCAAGCAUAAUCCUUGUCCUGCCACUGUUUAUGUCCUUUGCAAAAAGCCUGGCUGAUGGAUGAGGGUGAGAAAGGUGAACCAUCCCUCAACUUGGAUGAGAUGGAUUGCAACAGCUCACAGCAUUUCCCAUGUCACUACCACCUCCACUAUGGUUUUGAGUACUCCGUAUAACAGUGAUUGCACCGGUUAAAAAUGACCUCGAUGAAAAAAGGAGAAUUCAAUACAGCAUCCCUCUUCUGUUCCACCAAUCCCCGGAUAAUAACUCAAAAGCUCAAACUUGCCCGCAUAGACAACUGCAUUAAUUGCUUGCAGCCCUAUGUCUAAAGCUGGUCAAUAUGCGACAUGCGUGUUUUGUAGAAACUUACAGCAGUGUGCUAAAUCCGAUCUGGUUAACCUCGUGGCCUCUGCCUAAUUCCUUACAUAAUGAAAGAGGAUGAGUGGAAUCGGAGAUCUGGCAACUAAAACCUGCUUUGACAGCUGUGGAAUCAUCACUGUCACUGGGCCCGUUUUCACUCGGAAAGGCAGCCGUUUUUAAUGGAGAUGAUUGCAAUAAUUACAUCCUGACAUAUUCCAGCAAUUAAACAUCACCGGCAUGCAGCUGAUUACUAAUGAGGAAACUGACGGAGUGAGGUGGUCUUGCUCAUGCGGAAGACAAUAAUAUGCCGGACUAAAAAUGGAAAACAAAUACAGUAUAACCGAUAAGAUGUAAGAGGAUAGGGUAUUACCAAAUUCAAAAUGGGAAGACAACAAAUUUCCUACUUUAUUUUAUUUUGAGCUUUUCCCCACUUGUUUGUAGAAACCUAUACAGAAAUGUAAUGUAUGUCAAAUAUUGUGAUAUACUGUAUAUCAAGAAUGAUACUGUCAUAAUAUGUUACCUGGGAGGAGAUUUAUAAUUUUCACAUAUGUAUAUUACCUAUUAUCUGGGUAGAUGAAUAUAAAAGGUUGUAACAUAUAUAAAAUUCCCAUAGUAAAAUUGAUAUACAGUUGUGCUCAUAAGUUUACAUACACCUUG